rnacentral:lncRNA from 1 species
UCAACGGCAAGGCCUUCAGGCACAGCCCCUAGUGAAGGAUGGGGGGUCAGGGGGUUGGUGAGACCAGAGCGAUCACCACCUGAGAUGCCACAUGGGCGGGUGUGUCAAAAAUAACCCUCGAGCCUGAAUUCAAAAAGGAACAAUCCUCAACUGCUCCAGACAGUGCAAGGGCCUGUUGGCAGAUGGAGCUGUGGCGUGCAGGACAGUGUGUGUUAAUAAAUAAGGGCAAUGGUUAAAAAACAGCAGGAGGAGCAUCAAUCCUGUGUUUAAUUUGGGUUUGGAGCAUCAAAUUAAAAUUGAAACACCACGUCACAAAAGUAGAAACUGCUGUAUGCAGGAGUACAUUUAAAAGUGAGAAGAGGAGGCACGUCUUUACUCAAAGGAUGGUGGGGGUUUGGAACAAGCUAAUGCUGAUACCCUGGUUUCUUUCGAAAAAUUACUGGAGGACAUCCUGGUAUAACACAGGCCAAGUGAAGCCAGUGCUCUCCUUUUGUUUCUGAUCUUUCUUAUGUUCAAGAGAUCGCCUGCCUGAGCUCUCUGCCAAUAAAGAUACCGCAGGCUGCUCACUGUGUGACGACCCUUCCCACAGGGCACAGAGCUGCUGCUGCAAGCCCCAAGCAAAGGCUGAUCGAUGUCCUCCUCUCCAGACGCCGCACUCAGCGGUUUGACCAGGAGGUGCAAAGCUCCAACGUACAGAGGCAGCUGGAGGAGGCCAGGGAGCGACUGAGCAGGGAGCUGCAGGCACUGCGCUUACAGAAGACGCACCACGAGUUUAUUGUGCCCCGGCAUCAGCACGACGAGGCGCAGAGCCUGCAGGCCCGUGUCCAGAGGAGAGCGGAGAGCCUACCAGGCCUGCGGGCCGCAGUGUGGGACCUCAGGGAAAUGCUUCGCAAGGAGUGUGAGGCAGAGAGUGGCCUUCAGAUCCCAGGAUAUAGCAGUAAAACAGUAGGUCCCUUCCUUUUUUAAUACAGGGAGAACUUAUGCUUAAAUGUUUUUUUUAAAUCAAAGUCUGCUCUGAUAAGAGAAAAACUCCCUGUGUGGGCUACACUUUGUGGCCACUUGGCAAGUGAACGAGGCCGAGCUGAAUGUUACCCAGCUGCCCCCAGGAGCCCCAUCAGCCCCAGCAGCUAUUUGGACAAACAUGUGAGACCCCCAGAAUCCCAC